CCUACGGGAGGCAGCAGUGGGGAAUAUUGGACAAUGGGGGGAACCCUGAUCCAGCGACGCCGCGUGAGUGAAGAAGUAUUUCGGUAUGUAAAGCUCUAUCAGCAGGGAAGAAAGAAAUGACGGUACCUGACUAAGAAGCCUAGGCUAACUACGUGCAAGCAGCAGCGGGAAUACGUAGGGGGCAAGCGUUAUCAGGAUUUACUGGGUGUAAAGGGAGCGUAGACGGCGAUGCAAGUCCGAAGGGAAAGGCGGGGGCCCAACCCCCGGACUGCUUUGGAAACUGGAUGGCUUGAGUGCAGGAGAGGUAAGUGGAAUUCCUAGUGUAGCGGUGAAAUGCGUAGAUAUUAGGAGGAACACCAGUGGCGAAGGCGGCUUACUGGACUGUAACUGACGUUGAGGCUCGAAAGCGUGGGGAGCAAACAGGAUUAGAUACCCGAGUAGUC
rnacentral:rRNA from 1 species